GACGAACGCUGGCGGCGUGCUUAACACAUGCAAGUCGAACGGAAAGGCCCUGCUUUUGUGGGGUGCUCGAGUGGCGAACGGGUGAGUAACACGUGAGUAACCUGCCCUUGACUUUGGGAUAACUUCAGGAAACUGGGGCUAAUACCGGAUAGGAGCUCCUGCUGCAUGGUGGGGGUUGGAAAGUUUCGGCGGUUGGGGAUGGACUCGCGGCUUAUCAGCUUGUUGGUGGGGUAGUGGCUUACCAAGGCUUUGACGGGUAGCCGGCCUGAGAGGGUGACCGGCCACAUUGGGACUGAGAGACGGCCCAGACGCCUACGGGAGGCAGGAGUGGGGAAUAUUGCACAAUGGGCGGAAGCCUGAAGCAGCAACGCCGCGUGCGGGAUGACGGCCUUCGGGUUGGAAACCGCUUUCGCCUGUGACGAAGCGUGAGUGACGGUAAUGGGUAAGAAGCACCGGCUAACUACGUG
rnacentral:rRNA from 1 species